AUGCAGGAUCUACUUACAAUGUAGCUGUGAAGUGCUGCAUUGCCUUUGCCCCCUGCUCAAAGCAAAACUGAUACCUUCCUAGCCCUGUGGGCCUCCGCAAUGUAGCUCCAGGGAUGCAAGGUCUCACACAU